CUCAGGACGAACGCUGGCGGCGUGCCUAUACAUGCAAGUCGUACGCUUCUUUUUCCACCGGAGCUUGCUCCACCGGAAAAAGAGGAGUGGCGAACGGGUGAGUAACACGUGGGUAACCUGCCCAUCAGAAGGGGAUAACACUUGGAAACAGGUGCUAAUACCGUAUAACAAUCGAAACCGCAUGGUUUUGAUUUGAAAGGCGCUUUCGGGUGUCGCUGAUGGAUGGACCCGCGGUGCAUUAGCUAGUUGGUGAGGUAACGGCUCACCAAGGCCACGAUGCAUAGCCGACCUGAGAGGGUGAUCGGCCACAUUGGGACUGAGACACGGCCCAAACUCCUACGGGAGGCAGCAGUAGGGAAUCUUCGGCAAUGGACGAAAGUCUGACCGAGCAACGCCGCGUGAGUGAAGAAGGUUUUCGGAUCGUAAAACUCUGUUGUUAGAGAAGAAUAAGGAUGAGAGUAACUGUUCAUCCCUUGACGGUAUCUAACCAGAAAGCCACGGCUAACUA
rnacentral:rRNA from 1 species